rnacentral:rRNA from 1 species
CGAGGUGGGAUCCCGGCCCCUAGGGGUCGGGCGCACCACCGGCCCGUCUCGCCCGCACGUCGGGGAGGUGGAGCAUGAGCGUGUGCGAAAGUACCCGAAAGAUGGUGAACUAUGCCUGGGCAGGGC